AUUGAACGCUGGCGGAAUGCUUUACACAUGCAAGUCGAGCGGCAGCACGGACUUCGGUCUGGUGGCGAGUGGCGAACGGGUGAGUAACAUAUCGGAACGUAUCCAAUAAUGGGGGAUAACUAAUCGAAAGGUUGGCUAAUACCGCAUACGCACUACGGGGGAAAGAAGGGGAUCUUCGGACCUUGCGUUAAUGGAGCGGCUGAUAUCUGAUUAGCUAGUUGGUGAGGUAAAGGCUCACCAAGGCGACGAUCAGUAGCUGGUCUGAGAGGACGACCAGCCACACUGGAACUGAGACACGGUCCAGACUCCUACGGGAGGCAGCAGUGGGGAAUUUUGGACAAUGGGCGCAAGCCUGAUCCAGCCAUUCCGCGUGAGUGAAGAAGGCCUUCGGGUUGUAAAGCUCUUUCGCAAGGGAAGAAAACUUACUUUCUAAUAAAGAGUGAGGUUGACGGUACCUUGAUAAGAAGCACCGGCUAACUACGUGCCAGCCGCCGCCGUAA
rnacentral:rRNA from 1 species